rnacentral:rRNA from 1 species
CCGGCCUUGUACACACCGCCCGUCACACCAUGGGAGUUGGUUUUACCCGAAGGUAGUGCGCUAACCGCAAGGAGGCAGCUAACCACGGUAGGGUCAGCGACUGGGGUG